CGGCGAACUCCCGCCGCUGCCCCGCCGCGGUCCCUUCCCCUCUUCCCCGGCUUUCGCAGCGCUGGGAAAGGGGGGGGGACGCGCUCCGGGAGCGCGGUCUCUCCAUCCGCGCCCCCCCGCGCAGCGAUGUCCCGCGGGGGGCGCGGGCGGUGCCGAAGGUGCAGCCGGCACCGAGGGAACAAAGGCGGCGGCGGCGGGGAACAAAGAGCGGCAGAUUCAGACUCUCCUCAAGUUUAGGGACAGCAUCAUCUGACCAUGCCCAGCCAGAACUCUGGAAGGCAGAUGCGGAUCUGCCUAAAGAAAUUCUGCAAGAUUUGGAGCCCUGAUUUUCUGUGAGGAAAUUUUUCUUUUUCGGGCAAAAGUGAAUCCUGCACCUUUUCAGUGUCAUUUCAGCUGGAGCCUGAGAAUGCACUGACUUGCAGAGCCAACAAUCAAAGCUGGCUACUACUUGACUGCCCUGCCUUGGCAAACACCUGGUCCAAUUCAUGCUUUGUUGCCAUCCUGGCAACAAACCAACCUGUGAUGGUUCUUUGUGUACUUUUUUUACUUGUUUUAUUGAGGAUUAAUUAGUGUUUGUAUAGUGGCACAGCUGUCUGGUGCUCCAUGGACACAGCUGAAGGCAAAGGCCUUCGGGCUAUGCUGUGGUUUCCUAAUUCCUGUGUUAUGGCUAGUGUAAUGCAUAUCCUCGAAGUGAAACAAACAUUUCUGACUGAUUUAUGACUUUUGACUGCCAGUUUUCUUGUGCUAGAGGAAGGAGAGAAGAAGAUGCAGUAUCAAAAUCAAGCUGCAAUAUUUCAAGUCCCCUGUUGAUCACUUGAGGCUCUUGCACAUGCUAUGAAAUUCACCAGAAGUCAUCUCAUGGAGCUUGAUCUUUUAUGCCUUGGAGAGCGCCAUCCCACAUUAUCUCUCCAUGUUCUUCUCACUGACUUCACCCUGCCAUGAAUCACAGGGCUCCUCAUCCCUGCAUACACUGCAGGCAUGCCAGGCUAUGUCUAACACAGCACAGGUCCCAGCCCAGGGUGCUUGUUUUCACUCAAAUUACACAUUUGAUAACUUGCUUGUAAAGCACUUUGAAGAUAUGACACUAAGUGUUGCUAACACAAAAUGGUAUUGUUGGACAGGUUUAACAGGAGCAAUUAAACAGUAAUUCCAUAAAAAAGGUGUGAGGUAGAAGGUUAAAGGUAGAAUUAAGUCAUAUAUGCCUACUUUGUAUCCAAAUCUUCAGGCUGUUGAUUACUUGGACUGACACUGAAAAUAAGCUUCCAUCUCUUUUUACACACAGCCUUCCAGCUAGGAACUGCUAAGGCCCUGUGCUCAGACCCUAACUGCUUUGACAGGUACAUGGGUGCUGCCAGCAAGGAUAGCAAGUGGCUGACACGGAUCAGGCUUUGUGGAAGGUGAAGGUCUGGAAGCUGUGAGAGUCGGGCUCUUGCCUGCUGUCUGCUGCUGUCCAAAAUGAGCUGGAUGGAUGCACAGAGCACUGGGGAAAAGCCCUACAGAGCAGCACUGUCAGGCAGUGAUGAAUAUAACUGCAGUGGGGAUGAGGAGCCCUCACAAUUCCCAUUAAAUUCCCUUUUGAAAGAGGAUUUGAUCAGUUCAGCAGUGAUGCUUGCCUCACCACCUUCCCACACCACCCAGAAUGGCCAAGUCACAGAGCUGUUUCUUGUACAAGGCAUCCAGGCAGUGAUUGUCCCCUGUGCUGGG